AGUGGAAUUGCUAGGUCAUAUGGCAAGUUUAUAUUUAACUUUUUGAGGAACUGCCAAACUGUUUUGCAUAGUGGCUGCACCAUUUUAUAUUCCUAUGGGUAAU
rnacentral:pre_miRNA from 1 species